rnacentral:lncRNA from 1 species
AUGUCUCCUCAUUUGGUUAUUCUCAGCCAAAAGCAACUCUCACAUCUCACAUGUGUGAGAAACAAAACUCCAAAAGUCAAAAUGGAAAAAUCUGGACGGGUCUUUGCAAAACAAUGCAGCCUUAAGUAUUUACUAGAGAGCUGGAAAGAGAUAUCUGCAAAACAACCUGACAGGGGAAAUGGAAAUGAAGAAAGUAACUGCAUACAAAGACAAGGAAAAAAAGUGAGGGAAUCACUGGCCAGGAUUGUCAGGAGACCUUUAAAUCAAAAGUGCCUUAAUGUGUGGAUCACCAAAGGUGGCUGGAAGUUCUGCUCAGCCUUCAGUGAGGGAGGAUGUGACAAAAGUAAAGAGCAGUGUUUUCAGCAAGAUCUACAGUUACAAGCCAAUUCAGAGAAGGUGUUCUCCGUGGCAGUGAAACCAGCCUUUCAGGAGGCACCGUGCUGUUCCUAG